CCGCUGGGAUCCCUCGCCGAGGGACCGUGACGGAAGA
rnacentral:ncRNA from 1 species